rnacentral:rRNA from 1 species
GCCUAUUCGGGGUGGAUUAGUGGCGAACGGGUGAGUAACACGUGGGCAAUCUGCCCUUCACUCUGGGACAAGCCCUGGAAACGGGGUCUAAUACCGGAUAACACUCUGUCCCGCAUGGGACGGGGUUAAAAGCUCCGGCGGUGAAGGAUGAGCCCGCGGCCUAUCAGCUUGUUGGUGGGGUAAUGGCCUACCAAGGCGACGACGGGUAGCCGGCCUGAGAGGGCGACCGGCCACACUGGGACUGAGACACGGCCCAGACUCCUACGGGAGGCAGCAGUGGGGAAUAUUGCACAAUGGGCGAAAGCCUGAUGCAGCGACGCCGCGUGAGGGAUGACGGCCUUCGGGUUGUAAACCUCUUUCAGCAGGGAAGAAGCGAGAGUGACGGUACCUGCAGAAGAAGCGCCGGCUAACUACGUGCCAGCAGCCGCGGUAAUACGUAGGGCGCAAGCGUUGUCCGGAAUUAUUGGGCGUAAAGAGCUCGUAGGCGGCUUGUCACGUCGGAUGUGAAAGCCCGGGGCUUAACCCCGGGUCUGCAUUCGAUACGGGCUAGCUAGAGUGUGGUAGGGGAGAUCGGAAUUCCUGGUGUAGCGGUGAAAUGCGCAGAUAUCAGGAGGAACACCGGUGGCGAAGGCGGAUCUCUGGGCCAUUACUGACGCUGAGGAGCGA